rnacentral:rRNA from 1 species
UACGUAGGGGGCUAGCGUUGUCCGGAUUUAUUGGGCGUAAAGAGCGUGUAGGCGGCCAGGUAGGUCUGCUGUGAAAACUCGAGGCUCAACCUCGAGCUGUCGGCGGAAACCAUCUGGCUAGAGUCCGGAAGAGGAGAGUGGAAUUCCUGGUGUAGCGGUGAAAUGCGCAGAUAUCAGGAAGAACACCCGUGGCGAAGGCAGCUCUCUGGGACGGUACUGACGCUGAGACGCGAAAGCGUGGGGAGCGAACAGG